rnacentral:rRNA from 1 species
AACGAACGCUGGCGGCAUGCCUAACACAUGCAAGUCGAACGAGACCUUCGGGUCUAGUGGCGCACGGGUGCGUAACGCGUGGGAACCUGCCCUUAGGUUCGGAAUAACUCCCCGAAAGGGGUGCUAAUACCGGAUAAUGUCUUCGGACCAAAGAUUUAUCGCCUUUGGAUGGGCCCGCGUUGGAUUAGCUAGUUGGUAGGGUAAAAGCCUACCAAGGCGACGAUCGGUAGCUGGUCUGAGAGGAUGACCGGCCACACUGGGAGUGAGAUACGGCCCAGACUCCGACAGGAGGAAGCAGGGGGGAAGAUUGCAGAGUGGGAGGAAGCCUGGUGCAGCAGAGCCGCGUGCGGAGUGACGGCCUUGGGGGUGUAAAACGAUUUUGCCUGUGAUGAAGCGUGAGUGACGGUAAUGGGAAAAGAAGAACCGGCUAACUACGUG